AUAUCACAAUCCAGUUGUGUGCCAACGGUAAUCACAUAUGAAGCUGUAGAGGUUGACCAACCUUAUAACCCUGGUUUCACCUGAUGUAGCAGUGGUACCACCAACAUUAUGAUCUGAGAUUAAUAGGAAGACAAAAUUGAAGCUUCCUCCAGUGAGGGCACAGAUUGGAGCAGUUAUUCUGGAAUGCAGUUAAAAAGGAAAACAUCACGACAACUGCGUCCCAGUAUACCAAAUCCAGUGUUUAAAGCCAAACAAGAACUUUAUAAGAAGAGGAG